rnacentral:rRNA from 1 species
GAAUAUUGGACAAUGGGCGCAAGCCUGAUCCAGCCAUGCCGCGUGAGUGAUGAAGGCCUUAGGGUUGUAAAGCUCUUUCCGUGGGGAAGAUAAUGACGGUAACCCCAGAGGAAGCCCCGGCUAACUUCGUGCCAGCCGCCGCGGUAAUACGAAGGGGGCUAGCGUUGUUCGGAUUUACUGGGCGUAAAGCGCACGUAGGCGGAUUGUUAAGUGAGAGGUGAAAUCCCAGGGCUCAACCCUGGAACUGCCUUUCAUACUGGCAAUCUCGAGUCCGGAAGAGGUGAGUGGAACUCCUAGUGUAGAGGUGGAAUUCGUAGAUAUUAGGAAGAACACCAGUGGCGAAGGCGGCUCACUGGUCCGGUACUGACGCUGAGGUGCGAAAGCGUGGGGAGCAAACAGG